UACCCACCCUGGCCUCAGCUCAGCUACUUUGUUUACCUGGGUUCAGGGACCACUUUUGAAGCCCUUAGCGUGUGGGUGGAGGUGGGAGCAGAGGCUGAAGCUCUAGCAGUUUCCACCAAAGAGCACCACCCUAUCUUUCUAUGGUCUGGCUAGGGCUCACCAUCCAUCUUGGAGCUGAACACCAGAUGGGAGCUGAUAGAUUGUCCUUGACGGGCAAUGUUCUUGUGUGUGAUGGAGCUGUGUGUCAGAGAGGGCCAGGAGCAGAUGCACCACGCCUGGCCAGGACCGGGCUAAACAGCCUGUAAUGUUAGCCAGUCGAUCGCCCAGUGUCAUCACCCUGCCUGCUGGCUGGGCAGGGUAACUCCUCAGGUCACCACCCUCUCCAGCUCGCCUUGGGCUUGGAGAGUGAGGAGAAGGGCAAGGGACGACACUGAAUAUCCUCCAUCCAUCGCUCCAUCACCAAGAGCAAGAUGGCCAGGCUCCUGAGGAUGUUCAGGAAGAAGGCUCUGCAGGUGUCCCCAGAGCCUGAGGGAAGCAGCUGCCAUCUUCCCCAGGAGCAGAGCAGCCCCUCUGUCCCCGCUGGCGGGGAAGGAGCUCCGGGCCGGGCCAGGAGGUGGAAGUGCCCAGUCUUCUGGCAGAGGAAACCUGCUCCUGGUGCAGGUGCCAAGGUGGGA